rnacentral:piRNA from 1 species
UGGAGGUUCGUGACCAUCCCUGGGAU